UGGGGAAUCUUAGACAAUGGGCGCAAGCCUGAUCUAGCCAUGCCGCGUGAGUGAUGAAGGUCUUAGGAUCGUAAAGCUCUUUCGCCAGGGAUGAUAAUGACAGUACCUGGUAAAGAAACCCCGGCUAACUCCGUGCCAGCAGCCGCGGUAAUACGGAGGGGGUUAGCGUUGUUCGGAAUUACUGGGCGUAAAGCGCACGUAGGCGGAUCAGAAAGUAUAGGGUGAAAUCCCAGGGCUCAACCCUGGAACUGCCUUAUAAACUCCUGGUCUUGAGUUCGAGAGAGGUGAGUGGAAUUCCAAGUGUAGAGGUGAAAUUCGUAGAUAUUUGGAGGAACACCAGUGGCGAAGGCGGCUCACUGGCUCGAUACUGACGCUGAGGUGCGAAAGUGUGGGGAGCAAACAGGAUUAGAUACCCUGGUAGUCCACACCGUAAACGAUGAAUGCCAGUCGUCGGGUAGCAUGCUAUUCGGUGACACACCUAACGGAUUAAGCAUUCCGCCUGGGGAGUACGGUCGCAAGAUUAAAA
rnacentral:rRNA from 1 species